AGAAAGAGGUCCCAAAUCUUCUGAAACUUAAAGGGUUUAUCUCUUAGCGCUGUGGACUGGAGUAGGCUUUGUUACGUAAACCAGUUACAUCAAAAGUAAUUUAAAAGUAAUUAAAGAGUGGUCUGAUAACAUUGCCUAAAAUAUGUAACAUUCUGAAUAAAAAUUGUCUGUCACAAGUAAAAUGUGUUAAGACUUUUAUUUAAAAAAGUAAACAUUCCAAUUUCAGAAGGAGAUUUAGAGCGUCUUCAGGGAAGUAUGAAUAUAGCGAAUGUUUCAUCAAACAGUUUCGUUCAGUUUAAUAGCUUUAAAGGCUAUACAUUUUCUCAUUCAACUGAAAUAUGCAUCUCCUCUACUGACCUUUACACAACAGAGCGCCCCCUGGCGAGUGAGAUCUGCCCUGCCAUCAUCUUUCGUGGUCAUUUUUCAUAAACUAUAUAUAGUGCAUCUUGUAGGUUGUGGUUGGUAGUCUUCCUGAACACAGACACACACUUGGGUCUGACAUCAAGCAUUUGCCAUGUAUGUACAUUAAACAUCAGCAUUAGCAACCAAUAGCAUCCAGUGUGGUUUCAGCUUUCAAACUUCCUCUAAAUUGUUCUUACAUCCAGUCUUAAUAAACUCUAAACUAAACAGAGUAAAAGUGCAUUAAUGUGUCAUCUGUAUAACAAAAAAUGUCUCUACGAUGCUUGAUGUUGGUCGUCAUCUGCCUUGUGUUCAUCACCACAGAAGCUGUUUCAGAUUUAUGGGGAUUUGUCAUUUGGAUUGCCAUUGUUUCCAUCAGCAUGGUUUUUAUCAUCCUUUUCCUGUUUAUACCACCUUGUCACAAUUAUUGUGCUGCUUGCAACGGGAGACACAAGACUUCCAGAAAAUGACAGUCGAUUCUAAAUCCCAGCUUUACUGAAGCAACUGGAGCUCUUAACUAUCUGUGCCUUCAUAACUUUGACUGUUGCUUUUUGACCUCUGUGUCUGCUGGACCAUGCUUUUUAUUUUCAAAGAGGGACAAGAUGAGAAUCUCUUCUGCUUAAUUUUUUUUUCUUUUGGCCAAGACUGGUGUGGAGAGUAGAGAAGUACUGAGAAGAGGAGAGAGACUGAAAUACAUCUACCAUCUGCAGCAAGAUCCAACUAUUGUGAACUUUGUGGAUUUAAGUUAUGUGACUGUGGUUGGUUUUGCUGUGUGCCACUCAAAACUGAAAUGUGAGCUAGAUAGGAAGAUCAUAGACAAUUAUCUUUAUGUAGGGAGGUGGGUGGCAGUUUUUUCUGGUUUUGGAUUGAGGGUAUAUUUACAGACAAUGAUUAAUGGUGUGUUUUUUGCAAGCUAAUUCUUGUUCAGAACAAUCACUUUAGCAAAGUUUGUACUCUUUUCUGGUCAUUUUGCUGAAUAAUGAUCAUUUGUUCAAUAAAUCUAUUGUCAUUUAAAUAUGUUCAUUUAAAAUAUAUAAAAAUAUAUAAUGUAAUUUUAUCCAUUUUCAUUUGCUCCAUUAAUCUAUAACAUAAAAUUAAAUCAAUUAGCACGUAAUUAACUCGCUGUCGUGAUCGUGUCAACGAUUGGUCAAAGCUCCAGCUAAAUUGUGAAACAUAGAUGUACAGUAGGAAAGUGUGUUUUUGCAUCAUUUCAUGUUUAAGAGAAAAAUCAAAUGCACCUUUGCCCCAGUGAUCCCGUUGUACCGUGGUACUGUCACAACACUUUUCACAAGGCUAGUGUAGUUGUUUUAUUUUAUUUUGUUUGUCUGUGGACUGGAACUUACACUUUUGUUUUUUUUGUUUUUUCACAUAACAGGUCCCUAAACCUGUAAUAUAAAAUAUAACUUAAUUCCCACCAUAUUUCUGAUAUCAUUUAUCAAACUAAUCUGACUAAUUUGAUCAUUAAAUCUAAAACUGCGACUGCAGCUUGUGUACAGCGCAUUAGCAUUCGUUAACCAGUUAGCUUGUCAGUCGCUGUCCAUUCAAAUUUCUAUUUGCAUCUAUUACUGUUUUCUUUUUUUCUCACUCCGUUUCUUUUCUCUCUCGCUCCGUUUUUCACGAGUUUAUCAAACAACUAUGGAAAGUCAGAAUCA
rnacentral:lncRNA from 1 species